AACUAGCUUUAAUAUAAAUACAUUCCUAAUUCAGACCCUUAUUGAACUUCACUAAACUAUACAGAAAACAAAACUAAACGAACAACGUAAACCUAUUAUACUUAUUUUCGAUGGCAGUGAUUUUACAAGAUGCAUCUGAAAAUAUCGAGCCACAGACUGAUGUGGCUUCCAGUGCCUCUGUCCCCAUGAUGACCAUGAUGUCACCAGCUGCAGAGGAAAACAUUGUGGCGGAAAUUGUGCCACCGCUUCGGCUGCCGCUUCCACUUCGGCGCAGCGAACGCAUCAAGUCUGCCCAAAAAAAGAAGCAGCGCAAACUGAAGACGCAUCCUAUGAUUCUUCGAAGCCAUUUGGCUCGUCAAAAUAAAGUCAAAAACAUCGCUGCUCGUAAGAUUCGCAAGAGCGGUGUAAAGAAGACACAGAUCACCAAGAAGAAAACAACACACCACAUUAACGUUCAGAUCAGGGGGAAACUUUUCAAGCUCUAACCAAAUCCCCAAAAAAAUCCACUUGUUCCACAAAAAAUAUGGUAUACAAACACAGUUUAGGCUAAAAUAAACUUUUCUAUUUGUAAUUGAAUAAAUUCCAGUAAAGUUCCA